AAGCCCAGGGUUUUUAAAGCCUUUUUAUGGAUUUGCACUCCAAGGACUGAGCUGCUGGGGA
rnacentral:tRNA from 1 species